GGAGAGGUCGCAUAGCCUGGCCGAGUGCACGUGCUUGGAGAGCACGAGUAGCCGUAAGGUUACCCAGGGUUCGAAUCCCUGCCUCUCCGCCA
rnacentral:tRNA from 1 species